CCUACGGGUGGCUGCAGUGGGGAAUCUUGCGCAAUGGCCGAAAGGCUGACGCAGCGACGCCGCGUGGGGGAUGACGGCCUUCGGGUUGUAAACCCCUGUCGCCCGGGACGAACGAGUCGAUUCGUCGACUGUGACGGUACCGGGGGAGGAAGCACCGGCUAACUCUGUGCCAGCAGCCGCGGUAAUACAGAGGGUGCGAGCGUUGUCCGGAAUCACUGGGCGUAAAGGGCGCGUAGGCGGUCGCUUAAGCGCGCGGUGAAAGCCCGGGGCUCAAC
rnacentral:rRNA from 1 species